rnacentral:tRNA from 1 species
AGAAUGUAUGCAAGAGCUGCUAACUCCUGCUACCAUGUAUAAUAACAUGGCUUUCUUA